GGUGCUUCCCAGCCAUUCGGUAUUCCUCAGAAUAUCUAUUGGCACCUACUUCUACAAAAGACCAGCUGAAACAUCUAACCUGGUGGGACUGAGCAACUACUAGAUUCUUCGACUUCCCAUUCACAGUGACUUCUGGCUGUUUCCACUGACUUGGGCUGAUUGACAGAGACUCUUCUGUUUGUUCUGGAUGAACUGCCAUUGCUGAUUCAUAGAGAGAAUCUACAAGUGACUUGAGGUACUGCUGCUGAUCUGUGUGAACUGAACUGCAAAUAUUUUGACAAGAUUGGAAUU